rnacentral:rRNA from 1 species
GAUGAUCGCUGGCGGCGUGCCUAAUAUAUGCAAGUCGAGCGAACUGACGAGAAGCUUGCUUUUCUGAUGUUAGCGGCGGACGGGUGAGUAACACGUGGAUAACCUACCUAUAAGACUGGGAUAACUUCGGGAAACCGGAGCUACUACCGGAUAAUAUUUUGAACCGCAUGGUUCAAAAGUGAAAGACGGUCUUGCUGUCACUUAUAGAUGGAUCCGCGCUGCAUUAGCUAGUUGGUAAGGUAACGGCUUACCAAGGCAACGAUGCAUAGCCGACCUGAGAGGGUGAUCGGCCACACUGGAACUGAGACACGGUCCAGACUCCUACGGGAGGCAGCAGUAGGGAAUCUUCCGCAAUGGGCGAAAGCCUGACGGAGCAACGCCGCGUGAGUGAUGAAGGUCUUCGGAUCGUAAAACUCUGUUAUUAGGGAAGAACAUAUGUGUAAGUAACUGUGCACAUCUUGACGGUACCUAAUCAGAAAGCCACGGCUAACUACGUG